AGAAAGAAAUAAACGUGUAACAUUUCAUUUAACAUUAAAAGUUUUGAGUUUUCCUUUAGUGUAUGUUGUGCCUGAUCCUUGAACCCAGUAGAUGGUGGUACUACAGCUAUACUGGUUGUAGCCACUGUGGUUCCUGUAACUGAUGGGUUGCUGGUUCAAACUUCCCACAUGUAACCCAGGUGUCCGCCAUGACCCAAUCACCUUCCCUUUAAGUUGAUUGUCAUGUGUGCUUCCGGGUUUUGUUUUUUCUUCCCCACCUUGCUGCUACUCACUGUUGGUUGUUUGUAAAACAACCUGGAGUUUCUGAAUCGACUCAUCACUCAUUUAAUCUCUAAAACUUGAAGAUUGCGGUUGUGAUCCAUUGACAGCUGGUGAACCUUCCUGAUCUGAGCCAGUUAUCAUUGCAUCCACCUCAUCAGAUAAUCCGUUACUCGACGGUCAGGUUUUUCCCCCUUGCAUUGACUUGAUGACGGAAGAUGGCGAGCUACCCACCCACCCUCUGGUGGUAGGAAAACGGAACUACACUUUCCCUACAGAAACGAACUAAACUCUGAGUAUUGAAAAGGGA